rnacentral:rRNA from 1 species
UACAGAGGGUGCGAGCGUUGUCCGGAAUCACUGGGCGUAAAGGGCGCGUAGGCGGCUUGAUAAGCGUGCGGUGAAAGCCCGGGGCUCAACCCCGGGUCGGCCGUGCCAACUGUCGAGCUGGAGCACUGUAGAGGCAGGUGGAAUUCCGGGUGUAGCGGUGGAAUGCGUAGAGAUCCGGAAGAACACCGGUGGCGAAGGCGGCCUGCUGGGCAGUGGCUGACGCUGAGGCGCGACAGCGUGGGGAGCAAACAGG